AACGAACGCUGGCGGCAGGCUUAACACAUGCAAGUCGAGCGCCCCGCAAGGGGAGCGGCAGACGGGUGAGUAGCGCGUGGGAAUCUACCUAGCUCUACGGAAUAGCUCCGGGAAACUGGAAUUAAUACCGUAUACGUCCUUCGGGAGAAAGAUUUAUCGGAGUUGGAUGAGCCCGCGUUGGAUUAGCGAGUUGGUGGGGUAAUGGCCUACCAAGGCGACGAUCCAUAGCUGGUCUGAGAGGAUGAUCAGCCACACUAGGACUGAGACACGGCCCAGACGCCUACGGGAGGCAGCAGUGGGGAAUAUUGGACACUGGGCGAAAGCCUGAUCCAGCCAUGCCGCGUGAGUGAUGAAGGCCCUAGGGUUGUAAAGCUCUUUCAACGGUGAAGAUAAUGACGGUAACCGUAGAAGAAGCCCCGGCUAACUUCGUGCCAGCCGCCGCAGUAACAC
rnacentral:rRNA from 1 species